GUGGCGGACGGGUGAGUAACACGUGAGAAUUUGCCUUUAGGAGGGGGAUAACAGUUGGAAACGACUGCUAAUACCCCAUAUGCUUUCGAGUGAAAUGGAUUUAUAUUAUCCGCCUAGAGAGAAGCUCGCGGCUGAUUAGCUUGUUGGUAAGGUAAGAGCUUACCAAGGCGACGAUCAGUAUCUGGUUUGAGAGGACGAUCAGACACACUGGAACUGAGACACGGUCCAGACUCCUACGGGAGGCAGCAGUGGGGAAUUUUCCGCAAUGGGCGAAAGCCUGACGGAGCAAUACCGCGUGAGGGAAGACUGCCUAUGGGUUGUAAACCUCUUUUUUCAGGGAGGAAUAAAAUGACGUGUACCUGAAGAAUAAGCAUCGGCUAACUCCGUGCCAGCAGCCGCGGUAAGACGGAGGAUGCAAGUGCUAUCCGGAAUCACUGGGCGUA
rnacentral:rRNA from 1 species